GGCUCAGAACGAACGCGGGCGGCGUGCUUACACAUGCAAGUCGAGCGAGAAAGGGGGGGCAACCCCCUGAGUAGAGCGGCGCACGGGUGAGUAACGCGUGGGUAACCUACCCCCAGGCGGGGGAUAACUACUCGAAAGGGUGGCUAAUACCGCAUGAGACCACGGGAUCUUCGGAUCCUGAGGCUAAAGAUCGCACCGGCUUGCCGGUGCUGUCACCAGGGGAUGGGCCCGCGUCCGAUUAGCUAGUUGGUGAGGUAAUGGCUCACCAAGGCUCCGAUCGGUAGCUGGUCUGAGAGGAUGAUCAGCCACACUGGAACUGAAACACGGUCCAGACUCCUACGGGAGGCAGCAGUGAGGAAUAUUGCGCAAUGGGGGAAACCCUGACGCAGCAACGCCGCGUGGGUGAAGAAGGCCUUCGGGUCGUAAAGCCCUUUCGGACGGGACGAACGCUCCGCGGUGACAAGCCGCGGAGUCUGACGGUACCGUAGGAAGAAGCACCGGCUAACUCCGUGCCAGCAGCCGCGGUAAUACGGAGGGUGCGAGCGUUGUUCGGAAUUACUGGGCGUAAAGCGCGUGUAGGCGGCCUUGCAAGUCAGGCGUGAAAGCCCUCGGCUUAACCGGGGAAGUGCGUCUGAAACUGCUUGGCUUGAGUACGGGAGAGGGAGGCGGAAUUCCCAGUGUAGAGGUGAAAUUCGUAGAUAUUGGGAGGAACACCGGUGGCGAAAGCGGCCUCCUGGACCGAUACUGACGCUGAGACGCGAAAGCGUGGGGAGCAAACAGGAUUAGAUACCCUGGUAGUCCACGCGGUAAACGAUGGGCACUAGGUGUGGGGGGUAUCCACUCCUCCCGUGCCGAAGCUAACGCAUUAAGUGCCCCGCCUGGGGAGUACGGCC
rnacentral:rRNA from 1 species